GAUGAACGCUGGCGGCGUGCCUAAUACAUGCAAGUCGAGCGAACAGACGAGGAGCUUGCUCCUCUGACGUUAGCGGCGGACGGGUGAGUAACACGUGGAUAACCUACCUAUAAGACUGGGAUAACUUCGGGAAACCGGAGCUAAUACCGGAUAAUAUUUUGAACCGCAUGGUUCAAUAGUGAGAGACGGUUUUGCUGUCACUUAUAGAUGGAUCCGCGCCGCAUUAGCUAGUUGGUAAGGUAACGGCUUACCAAGGCAACGAUGCGUAGCCGACCUGAGAGGGUGAUCGGCCACACUGGAACUGAGACACGGUCCAGACUCCUACGGGAGGCAGCAGUAGGGAAUCUUCCGCAAUGGGCGAAAGCCUGACGGAGCAACGCCGCGUGAGUGAUGAAGGUCUUCGGAUCGUAAAACUCUGUUAUUAGGGAAGAACAAAUGUGUAAGUAACUAUGCACAUCUUGACGGUACCUAAUCAGAAAGCCACGGCUAACUACGUG
rnacentral:rRNA from 1 species